rnacentral:rRNA from 1 species
AUUGAACGCUGGCGGCAGGCCUAACACAUGCAAGUCGAACGGGUAGCGGACGGGUGGGUAAGGUCUGGGCAACUGCCCAAUGGAGCGGGCUAACGACGGGAAACGGUGGCUAAAACCGCUUACCAUGGUAUGGGCCCAGAUGGGAUUAGCUAGUAGGUGGGGGAAAGGCUCACCGAGGCGACGAUCCCUAGCUGGUCUGAGAGGAUGACCAGCCACACUGGAACUGAGACACGGCCCAGACUCCUACGGGAGGCAGCAGUGGGGAAUAUUGGACAAUGGGCGCAAGCCUGAUGGAGCCAUGCCGCGUGUAUGAAGAAGGCCUUCGGGUUGUAAAGUACUGUCAGCGGGGAGGCGUUACCCGACGAGGAAGCCACGGCUAACUCCGUGCCAGCAGCCGCGGUAAUAC